rnacentral:rRNA from 1 species
GACGAACGCUGGCGGCGUGCCUAAUACAUGCAAGUCGAACGCAGUGGGGACGGGUGAGUAACACGUGGGUAACCUCCCAUCAGAGGGGAUAACACUUGGAAACAGGUGCUAAAUCGAUACUGAUGGAUGGACCCGCGGUGCAUUAGCUAGUUGGUGAGGUAACGGCCCACCAAGGCCACGAUGCAUAGCCGGCCUUAAAGGGUGAUCGGACCCCAUGGGACUUGGGCACGGCCCCGAAUCCCUGGGGAGGCCACAGGAGGGGAUUCUCAGGAAAUGAAGAAAAGCUGACCGGGCAAAGACGGGGGAGUGAAGGAGGUUUUCGGGUCGUAAAACCUUGGUGGUAGGGGAGCAGGAUUUAACCAGAAAGCCACGGCUAACUACGUGCCAGCAGCCGCGGUAAUAC